GGGUGCGAUCAUCGCAGCCCUAAUGCACCGGA
rnacentral:rRNA from 1 species